CAUAUGGAGAGGAGAGGGGACCUAGCCUUUAUAUAUAGGAAAUAAUUUGAGCCGUCUCAUUACGACUAGAAUUCUAAUUAGGGUUUAUUUCCGACCCACAUACUUUAAAUUACCAUAUCAAAUUAAUUACAACCCGUAAGGUGUAAAAGGCCCAAUUGAUCACUUAAUAAAUUUGGCCCAAACACAAUUAUCAUUAUGAGCCAUAUAUCUAACCCGUAAAAUUUUGCAAUCGAAUGUGAAGCCCACAUAUGAAAUUAUUAAUUAUUCCAACAUUCUCUCACUUGGACAAACAUUUGAUUGCC
rnacentral:lncRNA from 1 species